rnacentral:lncRNA from 1 species
GUGCUAAGCCCGGCUUCCUCCUGCCAGCGGGGAACUGCGCCCUGGGCAGCGCAUGGCACGGCAUCUCCGGAUGAGCCAUCCCAGUGCAAAGCCAUGUCCUAGGGCUGCAGGAGGGGACCUUUGGGGAUGGCACCACGGGGACAGUGCUAAGGGAGGAGUGGGUGUCCCCAGUGCUCUGGAGGUGGCAGGUGGAGGGAAGGGUGGUGUGUGGUUGGAUGGAGCACGGCAUCAUGGGGAGAUGGAGCAGGGCAGCACGGUCAGGACAUCACAGCUUUGCCCUGGGCUGCAGCUCAGCCAAAGGGCAGGAAAAAAGGGCAAAGAGGGUCUGAACAGGGGGGUGAUGACAGGAGAGAGAGGCCAGCACAGAGUGGGGCUGCGGCCGAUGGUUCGCUCUGUGGGACAGAGGAAUGUCUGUGCUGCUAAUGAGUCUGUUUGGAGAGGAAAUGCUUUGCCAGUGAGAGCUCCAGUUAAACAAGGCCGGUUCGCUUCUGCAGGAGCUGCUGCACCCGUGGAGGCCCCUCCAUGCUCUGCCCCACACCCCAGCCCUGGGCUCAACAGUGAGGUUGGGAUGGAGGCAGCUCAGGGUGAGGAGGGGGCUGGCACCCCUGGAAAGAACUGUCCUAGUGCACACUGUGCCCCCACAGAGCCCCUGCACCCACCCAGCCCCGUCCUGGCCAGAGCACAUCAGCAUUCCUGGGAGCAGGGUCUGGGGGACGGCAUUGAGGGGGGAUUAGCUGUCUGUGCUCCCCCCCACCCGGGCACUUAAUACAGAAAACAAACAGCCUUGCAUGCCCCGAUCCAGACGGGUUUUCUCUGUGCACGUUGCCUGGGAGACCCUAAUCUGCUUCCCUGGGCACACCGGGGCCCUGCACCCCCAGGUUGACACCGGAGGGUCCUCAGUCUCCAGUAGAUGUGGUGGGGCUGGCAGUGACCCUGCUGUGUGGGCACGCGGCUGCCAGCAGGAUGCGGUGAGGAGCACAAUUCAGAACCGUGCUGAGCCUGGCUGCAUGGCACAGAAGGAUUUUGGGGUUGGUGAUAACCUCCCC